rnacentral:lncRNA from 1 species
AAAGAAGCAACCAUAGAACUAUAAAGACUUACUGGAAAUUUAGGAAUAUGAUGCCUGAAAAUAAGGAAAAUGGAAAAUAAGUGCUGGGAUAAAACCUGAUGAAAUCUCUUAGAAAUUGGGAUAAAAGAAAACUAGGAACAUAUAGAAGUAAAGUUUAAAGUCUUAGAAGAUCCGUCGGGGAAAGCUAAGAUCCUUCAAAAGGAGUUUAAGAAAGAGAGAAGAAAACAAAAUAUCCUAAAGAAAUUAUUAGAGAAAUAAUGAAAGAAAAUUUAUUUUUUAGCCACAUGCAUCUUCAGCUUGGAAAAAAACCACAGGAUGAAGAGCAUACAAUUGAAGUAGAAAGACCACAGCUAUACAGAGGCUCAUGAAGGGUAAAGAGGAGAUUUUUGAAUGCUUCCACUUAUUGCUUCCAAUAAAUGAGAAUUCAACUUCUUAUAAGAGAUACCGUAUGCUUGAAAACUGAGAUCUGAGAAAAAUAUGACUACAACCUAUAAGUAAACGCCCAGCCAAACUCUAAAGCAAGAGUUCAGGUAAAAUAAGGACAUUUUUGGGUAUGUAAGCUAUAGAAAAUGUUACUACUCAUUGAUCAUCCUCUGAAAGACUUGCUUAUGUAAUUUAUCCAACAAAAAGAACAAAGGAACUCAAGAAAGAGGUAAAAAAUGAGAUCAAUGAAACAGAGUACUUAAUAUAUUGUGUAUUGUGAUUAUGUAGCAGAGUAUCUCUGUUUUAUAGGAAAUAUAAACUAAAGUAUUCAGAAAUGAUGGAACAAGAAGUCAGCAACUUUCUCUCAAAUUGUUCAGGAAAAGAUGCUUUGUAUUGUAUCUUCACCUUUUCUGUAACUGCAUGAUUAUUUUGAAAUAAAGAUAAUUUAAAAAAUAAAAUGGAGGGAAGAAAUUGUAAAAGAUAACAAGAAAAAAAAACAAAGUCACCUUUCAGUGAGUUCCACACCCUUCUAUCUGAAAUUCCAC